GUAGAUCAUGAUAUAUUGUGAAGACACUUGUCUAUUGUUGAAGGUAGAUCAUGAUAUAUUGUGAAGAUACUUGUCUAUUGUUGAAGGUAGAUCAUGAUAUAUUGUAAAGAUACUUGUCUAUUGUUGAAGGUAGAUCCUGAUAUAUUGUAAAGACACUUGUCUAUUGUUGAAGGUAGAUCCUGAUAUAUUGUAAAGACACUUGUCUAUUGUUGAAGGUAGAUCCUGAUAUAUUGUAAAGACACUUGUCUAUUGUUGAAGGUAGAUCCUGAUAUAUUGUAAAGACACUUGUCUAUUGUUGAAGGUAGAUCCUGAUAUAUUGUAAAGAUACUUGUCUAUUGUUGAAGGUAGAUCAUGAUAUAUUGUAAAGACACUUGUCUAUUGUUGAAGGUAGAUCAUGAUAUAU